UAGUCUAAUGGUUAAGACCAUGGAUUGCCAAUCUGGAGACGGCGGGUUCGAUUCCCGU
rnacentral:tRNA from 1 species